CAUGGCCAUUCUACCAUGGCCAGAUACAUUCUACAGUCUGCACAUCUCAUCUCAAACUUUUGCGUGAAUCUCUUUUGUCUGAAGUCUGAAAACCAAGGAGCCGAAGAAGCGAAAAUAACGACAAAAGUGGUGUCAAGGUCCCCAGUCCCCACUUCCAGUUACCCUCCAACAAAGCUAAAAAAGAAAAAGCGGAUGAUUGGGGAAAGUGAGAAACCGCAGGAUUGAAAAUCCUGUGGGCUGUGGCAUCUCUGCAGUUUUUGUCUUUUUCGUCUGUCUGAAGUCUCAACACGUCUUUCGACAGGUUGACUGCUUUCGAUUCUCGUAAACUAGAACUAGGAGCAAGAGCAUGGAUCAGCAAUUAAAUUAAAUCAAAUCCCUUGCCCGGAUUAUAGUUUAUCAUUCCUAAUUUGUUUCUUGUAUCAUAGAUCAAGCCUAAUAUUUAAUAUGUGUCAGUGCGUGUGUAAGAAUCGAGAAGUGAAAACUUAUCACAGUGCUGAUGUCAAAGUUGUUCCCAACAAUACCCUGCAACAUCAUGAAAAGACGGGGACUGAACUUGUAUAAAAAGGUUUUCCUAUACUCUUCCAAACAUUGCAAUGGACGGCUGCAUAUUUAUAAUCAUAUCCCCGUUCAUUAAUUAAGGGAAACGUUUUCCCAUUUAUUACGCAUUUGUCUACUUUUGGAUUAUUUUCCGGUUCUACCUGCUUCCGCUGUUGAAAUAAUU